GACGAACGCUGGCGGCGUGCUUAACACAUGCAAGUCGAACGAAGUGGCGAACGGGUGAGUAAUACGUGGGUAACCUGCCCUCCUUUUUGGGAUAAGCCUUGGAAACGGGGUCUAAUACCGAAUCAAGGGUGAUGGGCUCGCGGCCUAUCUGCUUGUUGGUGGGGUGAUGGGCUACCAAGGCGGUGCCGGGUCGCCGGCCUGAGAGGGUAACCGGCCACAUUGAGACUGAGAUACGGCCCAGAGUACGACGGGGGGGAGCAGUUGGGGAUAUUGCACAAUGGGCGAAAGCCUGAUGCAGCGACGCCGAGUGAGGGAUGAAGGCUUUAGGGUUGUAAACCUCUUUAGCUAUCGAACGGGUAGGUGCAGAAGAAGCGCCGGCUAACUACGUGCCAGCAGCCGCGGUAAUAC
rnacentral:rRNA from 1 species